rnacentral:lncRNA from 1 species
UUAGAUCUGGUGAGCAGCUGAAGUACCAGAGCUGGGAAGAGAGAGGUCUUGCAGCAGGUACGCUGUGGCUGUGAGGUGCCUCAGAGUGUGCUUUUCUCUUGUCUCUGCAGGUGCUUUGUGCAGCUGUAGACAGGGAAGGGAAAUCCUCAUGUCACGAAGCUCUGAGGGAAGGUGAGUGGUGUCAGCCUGGUCAUCCCUUAUCCGAAGCAAAGGGAAGACGCUCAGGUGUUUCCCUGUGAGGGUCCGAGGUGGCGUGGGUGAUGCUGGCCGUUCCUUUCAAGCUUGGACCUACUUUUCAGGUACAGAGGUGGUGUGGAUGAUACUGGUUGCACUGUUGGAGCUUGGAUUUGGAGAGGAAGAGCUGAUGAUGAGCCUGGCAAUUGACUAAGAUGACAAUGGGUGACUGUGCAUUUCUUGAGGCGGAGGGACUUUACCAUGCAGCAACCUGAGAGCUAAGUUGGGGGGGCACCUGGUAUUUGCAUAUCUGGGGUGGCUAAUGGGAGCU